GCUUACGGCCACACCGGCCUGAGUACGCCUGAUCUCGUCCGAUCUCGGAAGCUAAGCAGGUCGGGCCUGGUUAGUACUUGGAUGGGAGACCGCCUGGGAAUACCAGGUGCUGUAAGCU
ensembl:rRNA 5S_rRNA 5S ribosomal RNA